rnacentral:rRNA from 4 species
UUUAGCGCGGUGGUCCCACCUGACCCCAUGCCGAACUCAGAAGUGAAACGCCGUAGCGCCGAUGGUAGUGUGGGGUCUCCCCAUGUGAGAGUAGGGAAC